rnacentral:rRNA from 1 species
AUACGUAGGGGGCGAGCGUUGUCCGGAAUGAUUGGGCGUAAAGGGCGCGUAGGCGGCUUGUUAAGUCUGGAGUGGAAGUCCUCUUUUCAAGGGAGGAAUUGCUUUGGAAACUGGCGGGCUUGAGUGCAGGAGAGGGUAUCGGAAUUUCCGGUGUAGCGGUGGAAUGCGUAGAGAUCGGGAGGAACACCAGUGGCGAAGGCGGGUAACUGGACUGCAACUGACGCUGAGGCGCGAAAGUGUGGGGAGCAAACAGGAUUAGAUACCCUGGUAGUCCACGCCGUAAACGAUGGAUACUAGGUGUGGGGGGCGAUAGUCCUCCGUGCCGAAGCUAACGCAUUAAGUAUCCCGCCUGGGGAGUACGAUCGCAAGGUUGAAACUCAAAUGAAUUGACGGGG